UUCGAGAGUAGUUAGGGUUUCAGGUCUACACCCAAUAUGAUGCUCCACUACCUUACAAACUUUUAUGUACUCUAUUAGAAAAAAAGUCUGUCGAUCUGCCUUAUCUGUGCAUAUUAUUAUAUUCAUGAUGUACUCCUUUCACUGUCAUGGGCAUCUACCAAAGAUUGAUAUCUCAUGCUGAUCGAAUAGUGGACCAUUAGAUUAUCAAGCACGAUCAAAGCUAUUUUAAUGGUUAAAACGAAGCUUCAACGGUUGAAAAACUAGGGCUGUCAAUGGGUUGGGUUGGCCUGACGGCUUUUGGGCUUGGUCCAUCUCAGGCGGGAGUAUCAGGCCCGAGGGCCAGGUUCAGGCUUAACAAUCGAGCCUGUUUGUCAAUCAGGCAGGGCUUGGGCCGUUCAAAAUUUUAAAAUUUAAAUUCAAAACUUUCCCUCUCUAGAUUUGUUCCCGUUUCCCUCUUGGAAAAGAGCAAAACCUAUCCCAUCCAACUUUCCCUCAUUUACUCAAAACCCAUCCCAUCCCACUUUCCUCUUUUACUCAAAACCCAUCCCUACUGCAUUUUCUCCUUUCAUUUUAAAUUUUUUACCCGAUCUUUAUACUUGUUUGAUUCACUGUCUGUUUCUUUUUCCAAUCUCUGCUAAAAUGGGCUUUUGGGUUUUCAUUUCUCUUUUGGGUUCCACCUUUCUUUGUAAAGGAAGUUUUUUUUUUCCUGCUUAUUUAAUUAGAUCUUAUUUUAUCUCAUUGGUUUUUUUUUUUUUUUUCCACGAACUUGUUCUUUCUUGUGGGUUUUUGUAAGGUGUUGGAUUAUGUAAAUUCAAAACAACUCCCACCAACAGAUAGGUUUCCUCUAUGAUCUUUUAAAGGGCUUUCUCUAUUUCCUCUUCUUAAUGAUGUUAUACUGACUGUGGGAUCUUGAACAAGGCCAGAACAAAGAAGGAAAGACAUUUCUGUACCUGGUUUUAGGGUAGAUGGACAUUGAUCUUAAGAAGUAUGUUAGAACCUUUCACUAUACAGAAAUUCCCUACUAAAAAUAUGAAGGUAGGGAUCGUUGCCAUUGAUUUUCAUCGGUCUUUAAAGAAAAGCUAGUUGUAUUAUUAUCAUGAGUUUAUUUACUUUAUUGACCGAAUAAGUAGAGAUUCUAUCGGGUUUCAUAGCUUGUAUUCUCAAUUCAUUAGAGAAAGUUAGUUGGUGUUUUUUAAUUAAUUUCAGCUUUGAUGAUGUACCAACUUUGCAAGGGUGUUGUAUUCUGCCAUGGCCACAGUGUAUUGCACAGGUUACAUUGGUAUUUGGCGGAAAGCAAGUCCUUUUCGCAUUACGGUUGGGGAGCGUUCGCUGGGACCACUAGACUCACCGUUCACCUUCGAGGAUGACGAUUCCAAUAGUUUGGCUGCUUCCUGAAAAUCAAGGAUAGUUCCAACAACUCAAUUAAUGAAGAUCUAUCCAAAGGAAAAUAUGUUUUUAGUGCAGUAAAGGAAGAACCUUACCUUCUUCAUUAUGGUCUCUUUCUUCCAUGUCUCUAUGCCUUUAAAGAAUGCCCUCGUUGAUGUAACUACAGUCGUUACUUACAACGGGUUAGUGAAUUAGCUUCUGAUUUGAGAAGA